rnacentral:rRNA from 1 species
CUUCUGAUGUUAGCGGCGGACGGGUGGAGUAACACGUGGGUAACCUACCUAUAAGACUGGGAGUAACUCCGGGAAACCGGGGCUAAUACCGGAUAAUAUUUUGAACCGCAUGGUUCAAUAGUGAAAGACGGUUUCGGCUGUCACUUAUAGAUGGACCCGCGCCGUAUUAGCUAGUUGGUAAGGUAACGGCUUACCAAGGCGACGAUACGUAGCCGACCUGAGAGGGUGAUCGGCCACACUGGAACCGAGACACGGUCCAGACUCCUACGGGAGGCAGCAGCU